rnacentral:tRNA from 1 species
AAGAGAUGAAGAUCAAGAAAAAGCUGCUAACUUUAUUCUUUAAUGGUUAAACUCCAUUUAUCUCUUU